CGGGGGGAGCAAGCGUUGUUCGGAAUCACUGGGCGUAAAGGGCGUGUAGGCGGUCAAGUAGGUGUGAUGUGAAAUCCCUCGGCUCACCCGAGGACCGGCAUCGCAUACUGCUUGGCUUGAGUACGGGAGAGGAUGUGGGAAUUCCUGGUGUAGCGGUGAAAUGCGUAGAUAUCAGGAGGAACACCGGUGGCGAAGGCGCACAUCUGGCCCGAUACUGACGCUGAGGCGCGAAAGCUAGGGGAGCAAACGGGAUUAGAUACCCCGGUAGUCCUAGCCGUAAACGGUGAUCACUAGGUGUUGGAGGCAUUGACCCCUCCAGUGCCGCAGCUAACGCAUUAAGUGAUCCGCCUGGGGAGUACGGCCGCAAGGUUG
rnacentral:rRNA from 1 species